UCUUGUUUUGCUGCGUCAGGCCUCAAGAUGGAGCGGGAGAAUUUGAGAAUGAUCUUGGGUUUAUUUUUGCUUCCCUUCGGGCCGUGCUGAUGUCUAGAAACUACUGAUACCUGGCUAGAAACACUUUCACUGUCAGCAGAGUUGUGUCCAUUUCCUGUGGAUUGUUUCUUUCCUCUGCUGGUGGUGUUUUUCUUCUUCGUUGGUUUUCUACCUGGUUUGUUGUUCUUCUUCGGGUUGUUCUGGUUAAGUCUGGGAGUGCAGAGAGACAGUUGAACCUUUGUUAGUCUGUGGAGUCUCAAGAUGGGUAAAGAAACAGCAGCGGACAUCUUGAGUUGAUUCAGGUUGACGCUAUGCAGAGAAUCUCCUUCCUCCAUCUUGAGUUGAUUCAGGUUAACGCUAUGCAGAGAAUCUCCUUCCUCCAUCUUGAGUUGAUUCAGGUUAACACUAUGCAGAGAAUCUCCUUCGUCCAUCUUGAGUUGAUUCAGGUUAACGCUAUGCAGAGAAUCUCCUUCCUCCAUCUUGAGUUGAUUCAGGUUAACACUAUGCAGAGAAUCUCCUUCCUCCAUUUUGAGUUGAUUCAGGUUAACGCUAUGCAGAGAAUCUCCUUCCUCCAUUUUGAGUUGAUUCAGGUUAACACUAUGCAGAGAAUCUCCUUCCUCCAUUUUGAGUUGAUUCAGGUUAACACUAUGCAGAGAAUCUCCUUCCUCCAUUUUGAGUUGAUUCAGGUUAACGCUAUGCAGAGAAUCUCCUUCCUCCAUCUUGAGUUGAUUCAGGUUAACACUAUGCAGAGAAUCUCCUUCCUCCAUUUUGAGUUGAUUCAGGUUAACACUAUGCAGAGAAUCUCCUUCCUCCAUCUUGAGUUGAUUCAGGUUAACACUAUGCAGAGAAUCUCCUUCCUCCAUC
ensembl:lncRNA